GACGAACGCUGGCGGCGUGCCUAAUACAUGCAAGUCGAGCGAACGGACGUGAUGCUUGUUCCUCUGAUGUUAUCGGCGGACGGGUGAGUAACACGUGGAUAACCUACCUUUAAGCCUGGGAUAACUUCGGGAAACGGGUGCUAAUACCGAAUAAUAUUUUGAACCGCAUGGUUCAAGAGUGAAAGACGAUCUUGCUUCAACUUAUAGAUGGCUCGGCGUUGCAUUCGUAAGUGGGUAGGGUAACGGGUUACCAAGGCAACGAUGAAUACCGGACCGGAAGGGGUGAACGGCCACACGGGAAGUGAGACAGGGUCCAGACUCCUACGGGAGGCAGCAGUAGGGAUCCUUCCGCAAGGGGGGAAAGCCGAACGGAGCAACGCCGCGUGAGGGAUGAGGGUCUUCGGAUCGUAAAACUCUGUUAUUAGGGAGGACGAUAUGUGUAAGUAACUGUGCACAUAGUGACGGUACCUAAUCAGAAAGCCACGGCUAACUACGUG
rnacentral:rRNA from 1 species